rnacentral:rRNA from 1 species
CCCUUUUUUUUUUUCAGGUUGACCUCGGAUCAGGUAGGGAUCCCCGCUGAACUUAAGCAUACAAAACCCCGAAAAAAAAAUA